GAUGAACGCUGGCGGCGUGCCUAAUACAUGCAAGUCGAGCGAACAGACGAGGAGCUUGCUCCUCUGACGUUAGCGGCGGACGGGUGAGUAACACGUGGAUAACCUACCUAUAAGACUGGGAUAACUUCGGGAAACCGGAGCUAAUACCGGAUAACAUGUUGAACCGCAUGGUUCAACAGUGAAAGACGGUCUUGCUGUCACUUAUAGCUGGAUCCGCGCCGCAUUAGCUAGUUGGUAAGGUAACGGCUUACCAAGGCAACGAGGCGUAGCCGACCUGAGAGGAGGAUCAGCAGCACUGGAAAUGAGACACGGUACAGAGUACUACGGAAGGAACCAGUGGGGAAGAGUGGACAAUGUGUGCAAGCCUGAACCAGCCAUACCGAGUGGGGGAAGAAGGCCUUAGGGUUGUAAAACACUUUGGUGGGGAAAGAAAAGCAGCAGGUGAAUACCCAGCUGUUCUGACGGGAGGAAAAGAAGAAGCACCGGCGAGCCUCGUG
rnacentral:rRNA from 1 species